CUCGUAGGCGGCUUGUCACGUCUGCUGUGAAAACGCGGGGCUUAACUCCGCGCGUGCAGUGGGUACGGGCAGGCUAGAGUGUGGUAGGGGUGACUGGAAUUCCUGGUGUAGCGGUGGAAUGCGCAGAUAUCAGGAGGAACACCGAUGGCGAAGGCAGGUCACUGGGCCAUUACUGACGCUGAAGAGCGAAAGCGAUGGGAGCGAACA
rnacentral:rRNA from 1 species